rnacentral:rRNA from 1 species
GACGGGGGGGGCAAGUGUUCUUCGGAAUGACUGGGCGUAAAGGGCACGUAGGCGGUGAGUCGGGCUGAAAGUGAAAGUCGCCAAAAAGUGGCGGAAUGCUCUCGAAACCAAUUCACUUGAGUGAGACAGAGGAGAGUGGAAUUUCGUGUGUAGGGGUGAAAUCCGUAAAUAUACGAAGGAACGCCAAAAGCGAAGGCAGCUCUCUGGGUCACUACCGACGCUGGGGUGCGAAAGCAUGGGGAGCGAACAGG